rnacentral:lncRNA from 1 species
CCCCGCGGUCCUAGCGCCCGGCUUACUGCCCGCGCCGCUCUGCGGCAGGCGAGGUGCGGCGCGCCAGAGCGCAGGACUUCCUGGGAGGCAGUCGAGGAGCCCUGGCUUUACAAAGAAAAGCAAAUGAAAGAUGCACUGCGAGAGGCGGGAGGAAGAAACCCUGAGUCUCCCGAGACUCAAAGUUCUCCUGCAGAAUAGAAGCCGAAUAUGACUGAGUUGAGAGAGUCGGAGGGAAGGGGAGUUGAUUUAAUGGACUCGGAUGGCCAUGGCAGUUUCUCUUCCAUUCUUCGGCCACACACACAGAAGCGCAAACUAUGUUUCAGGCGGAGUUUCGAUCUUGUCGCCCAGGCUGCAAUGCAAUGCUGCGAUCUCGGCUCACUGCAACCUCCGCCUCUCGGGUUCAAGCAAUUAUCCUGCCUCAGCCUCCUGAGUAGCUGGGACUACAGGCGCCCACCACCAUGCCCGGCUAAUUUUUGUAUUUUUAGUAGAGACGGGGUUUCACCAUAUUAGCCAGGCUGGUCUCGAACUCCUGACCUCAGAUGAUCUGCUCCCCUCGGCCUAGCUACAUCUUAUUAAUAAGCAUAAACUAAUUUUAUCUCAACAGUAAAGAUAUUUUCAAUAGGAAAAAAAGAAAAAAAAUGAUGUAUAUGAAGACUAAUAACGAGGGGGAAAGCAGGGAAAAAACGGAAACCUUGGUUCUGAUUUUAAGGUCUUUCAACUGAUCUGAUGAAGCUCACCCAGAUUAUCUAGGAUCGUCUGCCUUACUAAAGUCAAACGAACACUCAUCUCUAUCUCGGCAGAUGUGAUCAACAUCUACAAUCAGUUGACUUUGCAUCAUUAGUUCUGAGGUUGAGACACCCUAGUCUACACCAUCCUUGUAGGAGUUCGGCCACAAAUUACAGUCUCGUUCCUCAAAAAACAGGUCUGCAAAGAAAAUAAACUUGUUGGCCAGGCGCAGUGGCUCACACCUGUGAUCCCAGCACUUUGGGAGGCUGAGGCGGGCAGAUCACGAGGUCGGGAAAUCGAGACCAUCCUGACUAGCUGCAGAAUGGCGUGAACCCGGGAGGCGGAGCUUGCAGUGGGCCGAGAUGGCGCCACUGGACUCCCGCCUGGGUGACAGAGCGAGACUCUGUCUCAAUAAAAGAAAAAGAAAAUAAACUUGUUAAAUUUUCUUAA